rnacentral:lncRNA from 1 species
UUUCUUUGUGGUUUGUUUUGCACUGUUUUAACCCAGUGUCUGACCCAUGUACAUGGACAACACUAGGCCUGUACAUAUAGCUUUGGUCAGGUACAAAUCACAGGGCCCUGCUCCCAGCUACGUAGUUCUCCAGGAAAGCUAUAGAUCAGCACUAUAACUGGUUAUGACCUGAGCCCUUCAGCUCUCCUUGAAGUUUUAUGAUCAUUCCACAUAUACUGGAUCACUAAGGUUUGCAGUGAACUCGCCAAUCAAAGCCAGUGGAACUGGAAUUAAUUUAGUUCUUGGUGCCUCCCCCUCCCCCCCCAUUAAUAGUGUCGUGUAGCCGUGUUAAAUCAAGGCAGGGAUCUGUAUUACUCAGGAACAUACUUACUGUGGAGAAAAAAACCAAAUCACACUCCAUGCUUUCCUUCUCUGCUCUCCUCUUCGAAACCCACUGGAGAUGUGGGUUGUUUGUUGCCCUUAUGCAAGCGCUCAGGCAUUUCUUUCCCGGGGGUGCUUGGAUAGUGAAGGUAUCACCCACUCCAGUCACUGGCUUAUCAGCCCGGGGAGAUGGAAAGGGAGCAGCCUGUGGAAUGUCAGGCCCUGCUGGCUGCACGCCCAUAUACAGUUCAGCAACCUCGGCGAGAACAGCCCCGGCUGCUGCUGCGGCUGCCACUCGAGUUAUUUCUUCUGGGCUCAGCGGCAGCCUGCAGAGCUCUGCAAAGGGGAGUGGUUUCUUCGCUCCCUCCCUCCCAAGGGGGCGGGGGAGUCCUGCCCCAGCCCCAGCGAUGGGGGCAGGACCAGCCCGGGGCCGGUUUAAUUGAAAGCAAACCGCGGAGACUCCACGCGAGGCGAGAGCGCUGGCAGAAUGCCCCGGGCUGGCGCCCCCGCUCCCAGCUGUCAGUGAAGGAGCGAAGCUUCCCGCGGCCGGGAUGUUCAGCUGGCACAAGAGCUUCACCCUGGGAGCUCCCUGGAGACAAGCAGGCAAGAAGAACCCACCAUCCAAGGGCAAGGUAGUGCUGACCAACAUGAAGAUACUGAGCAAUGAAGAGAGUCAAACCCAGGGGUUGACAGGAGAGCCACCUGCAGCCAUGGACUUUGCAGCGGAAUCCAGGCUUCCCAAAGUCGACAUCCCAUUAGAAUGCCAGGGAAAUCUGGGCACAAGAGACAUCUCUUCAAAACCAGACUAUGUGGCCACCCUGUCUGACCUCAGCACCUUAGAGUCCAAGUGCCAGCUUCACAGAUUCUCCAAAUUUGAAUCAGAGGAUUCUGGGGUUGAAUUGCCAAGUGGAGCCAAUUCUCCAUCUACACCAACAGGCUCCGAGAAGAGCUUUGUGCUUCACACCAGAGACUCGUCUUGUGACUCCGGAGUGCUCAGCAUCUCUUCUUCUCCGGGAAUUGACCAUGUCAUAAUGAGAAAGUGUAAAGACAUCAGAGAAACCAGCCAGUGUGCUUCAGACAGUGAAAAGCAAGUUGAAUAUUACAGCCAGGCAGCAGAUGUGGUGCAGAUCCCUACAGCUUCCCUGGAAGAUUUCAGUGACUGUCAGGAGGGAGAAAGUCCUAAUAAACUUUUUGGCCAAAGUGAAGGACAAUAUUUGGAAGAGAAACCCAGGAAAGAGAUAGACCUUUCCAUUAAAGACACUCCUCCAGCUGCUGCCCACAUAGAAGAGCAAAGGCCAAUCAGCAACCGUUACAAAGAGACCUUUGGGAGGAUGCAAGAACUUCAGCUCCAUGGACAUCAGCUCAAAAAAUAUCCCACAAGCGACAGCCUGGAUGAGUACAUGGAUGAGUGCUGUCGAUUAAGUGAGGUGAACCAAGGGAACACCAAGGCUCUUGGCUCUGGCCUGGGGUAUCUGGAACACAUCUGUCAGCUGAUAGAGAAAAUCGGGCAGCUGCAGGAGCACAAUCUGCGACUCCAAAAGCAAGUGUGCAGUUUGCAGAAGGAGCAGAAGAUGAGCCAGAUAAAGGAGGAGUAUUUUCUGCAGCACUGUUCCUGUGGAGCUGCCAGCAUCUUGCUCAACUCGUACCAGGAGGUGAAGACAUUUUUUACUGGGAGGAGCAGACCACACAGUCUCUUGGUUCAGAGUGGAAACCAGUCCGACCUUUCAAUCAUCCCAGAAAGAGGAAGUGACACACACCUGGAAUCAGGAGAUAGACAGCUGGUGCUGGGGCUCAGGAAGACCUGGAGUAAAAGGAGCAAUGAGGAGAAUGACCUCAGAGAUGCCUAUAAUCUGACUGAUGGCCGAGCUUUCCUGCUAAAGGACCCAACUACGAAAAAGGAUGAAAGCCACGCUUGGGGCAGAAUGAGGGAUCUCAUGAAGAAGACCAGGCUGAGGAACCAGAGCAAGUUGGGACUGUCAUCGGCAGCUCUGAAGAGGUCCUGCCCACAGCUCUACAGGCCAGAGGUUAAGACUUCGGAUCGAAGGAAGAUGGAGAGGAACUCCAUGAUUGUUCUGGGGCAAAGCACAAAGAAUGAAAACAUCUGGCCUUUCUGAGCAUCUGAAUCCAAUGGACCAAGAGGUAAAUGAACUGGGGCGCUGCUGGACAUGAAAUUGAAAACCACGAGGCUACAUUGCGCAGACCAAGCUCUACAGCAGGAUCAGCAUCAAGGCAGCAGGGAGGGAGGAGAGAUAAAAGAAAGAUUUGCUGAAGGGCAGGGUGCUCAGCUGUACUAGAGUUUACUCUUGACAUGAAUGUAAAAGUGAACUUAAAACAAUGCUAUAUACCGGGAAUAUAGUUACCAUCUCAGCAAUAAUAACCAAGCAGAUUUGAUACAAUUUCAUAAACAAGCUACCUUAAGUCCUCCUGCUUGUGAAGUAUUAUUGAUCUCCUGGGCUUUAUUCAGCAGAAAGAGGCUAAACCCUCAUAGAACACCAGUACUUUAAGGAAAAACAAAGAUUGGGAGACUACAUGUAGUAGACACUGCUGGGUGUGGGCAGCAGUGCAAGACUUAAGGGAUUUUUUUAUAUCUCCACGUGUGGGUAUUACUAACAAGUCUGCACAUUUUAAAGGUCUCCACCCAGCAGUGAUUGGCUGGGGAGUUUUACUGAGGUCCCAUGCAAUGUCCAGCUCAAUCAAAGCCACCAGCCAAGAUUUUCUAAAGCUGGAUUUGUAAGUGCAAGGUUAGGUGCCAGUCUUGUGCGUGUGACCCCCUUUGCCAGUCUGGAGCUUCACUGACCUCAAUAGAUCCAGGGCCGGCUCCAGGCACCAGCCCACCAAGCAUGUGCUUGGGGCGGCACCUGGAGGGGGGCGGCGCGGCGUGGCGCGGCACUCCAGCCCGAGAUCGGGGCUGUGACUGGACUCGCCGCCCUCCCC